GACAACGCUGGCGGCGUGCCUAAUACAUGCAAGUCGAGCGGAAUGAUGAAGAAGCUUUGCUCCUUCUGAUUUUAGCGGCGGACGGGUGAGUAACACGUGGGCAACCUACCUUGUAGAUUGGGAUAACUCCGGGAAACCGGGGCUAAUACCGAAUAAUCCAUUUUGCUUCAUGGCGAGAUGUUAAAAGGCGGCUUCGGCUGUCACUACGAGAUGGGCCCGCGGCGCAUUAGCUAGUUGGUAGGGUAAUGGCCUACCAAGGCGACGAUGCGUAGCCGGACCUGAGAGGGUGAUCGGCCACACUGGGACUGAGACACGGCCCAGACUCCUACGGGAGGCAGCAGUAGGGAAUCUUCCACAAUGGACGAAAGUCUGAUGGAGCAACGCCGCGUGAGUGAAGAAGGUUUUCGGAUCGUAAAACUCUGUUGUAAGGGAAGAACACGUACGAGAGUAACUGCUCGUACCUUGACGGUACCUUAUUAGAAAGCCACGGCUAACUACGUG
rnacentral:rRNA from 1 species